rnacentral:misc_RNA from 1 species
UCGUCUCCCUGCUGCGAUCCACCCCGUUAGGACUCUCAGACUGCUGCUCACUGCCAUCAGACCGUCUCUAUCGCCCUCCACGCCCGCUCGCACCCCGUCGCUUGUCCUCCUCGUCCGCACUCGCAACCUCACCUCGGACCCGCCUGCCACCCGUUCGACGCCUCCUGGUGAUCCAGCAGUUCUCGCGAGUCUAGUCUAGGGAGGCUGGAGACUCACUCUAUGUGAGCAUGUGUGGGCACUGACGAGGAGGCAGAGGUGGAUUUCGGCGGGUCAGGAGUCACGGCGCUCCCAACUGCAGCAGCUCCUCCGCUUUGCGAGCAAGGCACCUCCACGACCCUUCCUGCUCCGACGAGCGUGCUACGGUGAAGCGCAUCGCCAGACGACACCUCAGAAGUCGCGCGAACGAGCUAACAAUCAAGACCCAACGCUUCGACUGAU